CCUACGGGAGGCAGCAGUGAGGAAUCUUGGUCAAUGGGCGCGAGCCUGAACCAGCCAAGUAGCUUGAAGGAUGACUGCCCUACGGGUUGUACACUUCUUUUAUAAAGGAAUAAAGUGAGGCACGUGUGCCUUUUUGUAUGUACUUUAUGAAUAAGGAUCGGCUCACUCCGUGCCAGCAUCCGCGGUAAUACGGAGGAUCCGAGCGUUAUUCGGAUUUAUUGGGUUUAAAGGAAGCGUAGAUGGGUUGUUAAGUCAGUUGUGAAAGUUUGCGGCUCAACCGUAAAAUUGCAAUUGAUACUGGCAGCCUUGAGUACAGUUGAGGUAGGCGGAAUUCGUGGUGUAGCGGUGAAAUGCUUAGAUAUCACGAAGAACUCCGAUUGCGAAGGCAGCUUAAUAAACUGCCACUGACAUUGAUGCUCGAAAGUGUGGGUAUCAAACAGGAUUAGAUACCCUAGUAGUC
rnacentral:rRNA from 1 species